CUUGUCUAUAGAGGCUCUGCAAGUCUGGCUGCUGUGUCACAUGUGUAUAAGUAGGUGGUCGAGAGGAAAGAGACUAUCUCGAUACUCAGGGUUCUGACCUGUGAAUAUCUGAAUAAUUAGUAGCUUAACACU